rnacentral:misc_RNA from 1 species
GUUCAACAAUGCCGUAAUCCUACAUUUUUAUAUGCAUGCAAGUAUCAUAAUAUAUUAUAUGCAUUAAAUAUCACUGCAACUGUGCCAACUUGUUAUUUAAGAGUUAUUUAAAAGAGAGCUAUAGAAAUUAUAAAUCUAUAUUAAGUAAUUAGAUAUUUGGCUACACAUUCUCACAAGAGAAUGUACAAUCCAAAAAUAUGUCAGAUAUUUUCUUAUUUGUAAUAAGUGCCGACUACAGUUAUAAUUUGAAGCCGUCCUGUCCUAGCCUUGGUCCUAACUUUUCAAAUUAGGC